UAGCAACAACCCGCUAAGAUACCCGCUUAACCUCAAGGUGAAUCAAACAGCGGGUGCAUAAAAUGUUUUAAUAAGUGUUUUUUAUUUUUAUGACAGAAUAAUUCAAAGCACGCACGGGGAAAUAAGUGUUAGUCACAUUAAAGUGAACAGAGAGAGAGGCGUUUUCCCAGCGGGAGCCGCUAGCUGCUAACGAGGUCCUGACAAACAGGAAAAAUAAGCCUGACUGGAAACACCCAAACACCCAUUGUGUUUCAGGAUCCCAUUGGAUCAAUUCAGCAGAGAUCUCUACUUUUACACUCCCUGAUGCAUCCAGCUGCCUGCAGUUUUGAAACAAGAUGCUGCUUCGCUAAAAAAUGUGAAAAACAGCAGUGUGUUAAAUCAUGUUUUUUUUGUGCUUUAUUUCAUUUGGAAAAGAAAAAAAGAUUAUAGCACUGAAAAGCUAUAAUUAAUAAGCCCUUAAAGACUUUAAAUAAACCUCUUAAGAGAUUGCUUUCUUUAAACCAAUUUUUCUGUUUUAUAAAAUUAGUGCAGAAUACUCAGUGUGAAUGACCUGUCUGCUUAAAGACAUAUGGACAAUUAUUGCAUACAAAAGAUUAAUGGUCAACUAAUGGACUGGAAAACAAUCUUGGACCACUGUUCCUCCCUUGUGUUGCUUGGUUGUAGUCAACUAGUCAAGGCAGUCAGUUGGUUUUCCUUCGAUAAAAAAAACUUUGAACUAAUCUGACUGUAUGAUCAGGUUGCAUUGUCUUUGUAAACCGCUUUGAGAUGACACGUGUCUUGAAUUGGCACUAUAUGA